GAGUAACGCGUAUCCAACCUGCCCAUGUCUGGGGAAUAACCCGUCGAAAGGCGGACUAACUCCCCAUGGUCUCCGAUGAGGACAUCUGAAUUGGAGUAAAGCUUCGCGGACAUGGAUGGGGAUGCGUCUGAUUAGGUAGUAGGCGGGGUAACGGCCCACCUAGCCCACGAUCAGUAGGGGUUCUGAGAGGAAGGUCCCCCACAUUGGAACUGAGACACGGUCCAAACUCCUACGGGAGGCAGCAGUGAGGAAUAUUGGUCAAUGGACGCGAGUCUGAACCAGCCAAGUAGCGUGCAGGAUGACGGCCCUAUGGGUUGUAAACUGCUUUUGCGCGGGGAUAACACCCUCCACGUGCUGGAGGUCUGCAGGUACCGCGCGAAUAAGGACCGGCUAAUUCCGUGCCAGCAGCCGCGGUAAUACGGAAGGUCCGGGCGUUAUCCGGAUUUAUUGGGUUUAAAGGGAGCGUAGGCCGUGAGGUAAGCGUGUUGUGAAAUGUAGGCGCCCAACGUCUGCACUGCAGCGCGAACUGCCCCACUUGAGUGCGCGCAACGCCGGCGGAACUCGUCGUGUAGCGGUGAAAUGCUUAGAUAUGACGAAGAACCCCGAUUGCGAAGGCAGCUGGCGGGAGCGUAACUGACGCUGAAGCUCGAAAGCGCGGGUAUCGAACAGGAUUAGAUACCCUGGUAGUCCGCGCGGUAAACGAUGGAUGCCCGCUGUGGCGCGCCUGGCGUGCCGCGGCUAAGCGAAAGCAUUAAGCAUCCCACCUGGGGAGUACGCCGGCAACGGUGAAACUCAAAGGAAUUGACGGGGGCCCGCACAAGCGGAGGAACAUGUGGUUUAAUUCGAUGAUACGCGAGGAACCUUACCCGGGCUUGAACUGCAGGAGAACGAUUCAGAGAUGAUGAGGUCCUUCGGGACUCCUGUGGAGGUGCUGCAUGGUUGUCGUCAGCUCGUGCCGUGAGGUGUCGGCUUAAGUGCCAUAACGAGCGCAACCCCUCUCCGUAGUUGCCAUCGGGUGAUGCCGGGCACUCUGCGGACACUGCCACCGUAAGGUGUGAGGAAGGUGGGGAUGACGUCAAAUCAGCACGGCCCUUACGUCCGGGGCCACACACGUGUUACAAUGGCCGUCACAGAGGGGAGCCGGGCGACCGGCUCAUGAUCCUUAAAAACGGUCUCAGUUCGGACUGGGG
rnacentral:rRNA from 1 species